AGAGAGCGAGAGCGAGAUGAGAGAGCGCGCGCGCAGAUGAAAGCACUGUACCUGAAAGUAAUUCAUUGCGCAGCAGCAGCGGCAGCAGCGUUCUCUCUGUGCGCUGAAUGAGGGGGAAUCCUCGUCCUCGUCCUCGUCGCCUGGCUCUAAAUAAGCCGCGCUCACACGCUCGUCUGUGACCGAUGCGUCGCUGUGACACACGGCGGCAGCUUUUGCCUCGAGGCUGAGGAGCAAGGCAUCGCACCUGGGGAAUUUUCCAGAGCCUCCGCGGACGCUCACACAGGUGACGAGCGGAGCGAACUUUGCUGCGCCGCACCGCACCGCACCGCGCCGCGCCGCACCGCCCGCGUCGACGCGCGCACGGUGCGCCCGGCUCAGCGGCGGCGCGCAGGGUGAGACCCGCCGCUCACGCCUGUGCGUGACAUCUUCCCUCCGCGCCGCCGCGCAAAUGUGGACACAUAUGACGCAUUUGCGCCUUUAGAUGUUUUUCAGGCACCGGGCUUGGGCGCUGGAGUGAUACGUUUUCGGACAAGUUUCCGUGCUGGUUGCCGCGUCCGUCGUGUCGGCCUGGGGUAACUCGCGCGUUCCUCUGUAGAGUCGGACUGGGCGCAGAAGUUCGUUGGGAAUAAAUAUCAUAAUCGCGCCGUGGACAGAGAAGGGAAGAAGAAGUGACAGCGGCGUUAAAGGGGGUUUGAGCGGCUGAAUUAGUACCAUCAUCAUCAUCAUCAUCAUCACCAUCUUCUUCGUGUGAGGAUGUAAACUGCGCGGGACUGCAGCUGCUCACUUCUCCUCGUCCGCACACUUCCAGCUUCCACUGGAAGUAGACUUGGCCGCUGAAUUUCCCCAUCCGCUGCGUAAACUUGGCCGGAUCUGGUGACAUUCCGCCCGCGGCGAGCGUUUCCGCGUGUUGCCGCGGCGUCAGCGUGCGGUGCCGGGCCGCCUGGAUGGAUACGCGACUCACCGCGGGGAUUUGAGAAGCAAAACGGGGGGGAUUACGCUCAGCCCCUCUGCCUUUAUACCCUCAAAAUGGAUGCCGACGCCAGGCUGCGGGGACUCCACUGGAUUAGCCACUCGUCCGCCGACCUGCGCGACAUCUAGACGGCGAACGCGUGCAAAGUUGGGACAAUCGGCGGGAGGUUGAAGGUUGCGGGAUGCAGUCUGGGGCGAAGACGCUCUCCGCAGGUGGAGGUGCGUCACUCUGCUGCCUGCUGCUCCUCUGGCUCAUCUACUCCCAUCUGCUCAGAGAGGGCCAGUUGGCGGUGGGGACCUGCGAGAUAGUGAUGCUCAACAGAGACAGCAGCGUCCCCAGACGGACCAUCGCCAGGCAGACGGCCCGCUGCGCCUGCCGGAGGGGCCAGAUUGCCGGGACCACCAGGGCAAGGCCGGCCUGUGUCGACGCUCGAAUCGUGCGGAGCCGCCAGUGGUGCGAGAUGUCUCCUUGCCUGGAGUCGGAGGUCUGCAGCCUGUUGUUCAACCGAUCCGGCUGGACCUGCACCCGGGGCAGCGGUCGCAUCAAGACCGUGACGCCCUCGGCAGCAGCGACGCAUUUUACGCACGCAUUCCCGCCGAGCUGUGAUCUACACUGACAGCACACUUAGCCUUUACCCAAGGAGCCGUCGUAGGAUGCCAGGGAAAAACAGCAGCAAUGUUUGCUGACUUCGAUGCUACAAAAAAGGAACUGAGGCCAAUCACUCCACCUGAACAUUGUGUCCAUUCACCAACGAGGAUCCAAACAUUUAAACCAGGCUUGUUCUUCGGCAAAAUAAAUAAGUAUAAAUAUCCCCGAGCCCCUCCAGCCCCCACAGUGAGAGACUUGGCUGAGCAGCAUGGUUCAUCUUCACUGCAACCCAAUCAUAGGACAAAACCCCUGCAAGGAGCAGUAACAGAAGUACAUAGUGUUUUUUCCAAUAUUCGUUUGUUUUCUGCCGUCUCAUCUCAUCCGCGGACGACAGCCCCUUGGAGACUUUUCACACCUCGGCUCCAUUGGGACUUCGUCAGAAGCCGCCGUCUCAUCACCUUUGCUCUCGCCGCCGUGAAGCCGUGCGGGUUUCCGUUCCGCAGCUCGAUGCUACGUGGCCGUGGCCUGACUGAGGUUGAGCCAGGCCUUUUACCCGCUUCGCUCAGCCGGAGGAGUGAAACUUUACAAGGCUGCGGCCUCCAGCAUCUCCGUAUACAAACACACGGGACAAACGGCGUGAACGCACAGGAAAGUCUCCAAAAUAAGGCACAAAAGACGUCAGAGACCCAUUAAAGGUCACGAAUAAAGGUCACGGUGGUGAAAUGUGGACAUUUUGGCUGACCUGGCUCGUAACUUGUGUUUUUUCUGUGGUGCCAACGUAGAUUAGAAGAGUAGCUUUUGUCAAUGAACAUCGCACAUCUUGUCCUCACCACCGGGAGCGUUCGACAGAUGUGGACCCCUGGCUUGAUUUAAUGGUCUUUACUGUUUGUGUGUGCAUGAGUGUGUGUGUGUGUGUGUGUGUGUGUGUGUGUGUGUGUGUGUGCGUGUGUGUGUGUGGGGGGGGUUGGUUGUGUGUGAAGGUGUGUGCGUGUGUGUGUGCACAUCUAAAGAUACACUGUGAAAUAAGUCAUAUCCAAUACAUUAUUCAUACUGUUGUAUAGUUUCGGGACAUGCGCAGACCAGAGCGCAGCAUCUGGCAAAACAAAAACAUUUGUGACUUUACAGAUGUUGGACUUCAUCUGAAUCUUUCCGAAUGAAUUCUAGGUUUGCUCCUUCUUUUCUUUGUUGUCCUUUCUUUAGUACAUAGAGAUAUUUAUACUGGGGGGAAAAUAAUAUUGAAACUGGGGAAAGAUCUAAAAUAUGUCACAUAAGUUAAAUUCUGUAAUUAAAAUCAGUUCAUGUGUGAAUAAAUGUAUUUCAGAGUUCUUGUCUAAACUAA